GAUGAACGCUGGCGGCGUGCCUAAUACAUGCAAGUCGAGCGAACAGACGAGGAGCUUGCUCCUCUGACGUUAGCGGCGGACGGGUGAGUAACACGUGGAUAACCUACCUAUAAGACUGGGAUAACUUCGGGAAACCGUAGCUAAUACCGGAUAACAUGUUGAACCGCAUGGUUCCACAGUGAAAGACGGUCUUUCUGUCACUUAUAGAUUGAUCCGCGCCGCAUUAGCUAGUUGGUAAGGUAACGGCUUACCAAGGCAACGAUGCGUAGCCGACCUGAGAGGGUGAUCGGCCAAACUGGAACUGAGACACGGUCCAGACGACUAAGGGAGGCAGCAGUAGGGAAUAUUACGCAAUGGGCGAAAGCAUGACGGAGCAACGCCGCGUGAGUGAAGAAGGUCUUCGGAUCGUAAAACUCUGUUAUUAGGGAAGAACAAAUGUGUAAGUAACUAUGCACGUAUUGACGGUACCUAAACAGAAAGCCACGGCUAACUACGUG
rnacentral:rRNA from 1 species